AUUGAACGCUGGCGGCAGGCUUAACACAUGCAAGUCGAACGAGUGGCGGACGGGUGAGUAAUGCUUGGGAAUCUAGCUUAUGGAGGGGGAUAACUACGGGAAACUGUAGCUAAUACCGCGUACCAUAGGAUGAGCCCAAGUGGGAUUAGGUAGUUGGUGAGGUAAAGGCUCACCAAGCCGACGAUCCCUAGCUGGUCUGAGAGGAUGACAGGCAACGUUGGGACUGGGACACGGCCCAGACUCCUACGGGAGGCAGCGGUGGGGAAGUUUGCGCAAUGGGGGCAACCUUACGCAUCCAUGCCGGGUGGAUGAAGAAGGCCUUCGGGUUGUAAAGUUCUUUCGGUAGCGAGACGUUAACUACAGAAGAAGCACCGGCUAACUCCGUGCCAGCAGCCGCGGUAAUAC
rnacentral:rRNA from 1 species